rnacentral:rRNA from 1 species
AGUGAACGCUGGCGGUAGGCCUAACACAUGCAAGUCGAACGGCAGCACAGUAAGAGCUUGCUCUUACGGGUGGCGAGUGGCGGACGGGUGAGGAAUACAUCGGAAUCUACUUUUUCGUGGGGGAUAACGUAGGGAAACUUACGCUAAUACCGCAUACGACCUACGGGUGAAAGCAGGGGAUCUUCGGACCUUGCGCGAUUGAAUGAGCCGAUGUCGGAUUAGCUAGUUGGCGGGGUAAAGGCACACCAAGGCGACGAUCCGUAGCUGGUCUGAGAGGAUGAUCAGCCACACUGGAACUGAGACACGGUCCAGACUCCUACGGGAGGCAGCAGUGGGGAAUAUUGGACAAUGGGCGCAAGCCUGAUCCAGCCAUACCGCGUGGGUGAAGAAGGCCUUCGGGUUGUAAAGCCCUUUUGUUGGGAAAGAAAAGCAGCAGGUGAAUACCCCGCUGUUCUGACGGUACCCAAAGAAUAAGCACCGGCUAACUUCGUG